rnacentral:rRNA from 1 species
UACGGAGGGUGCAAGCGUUGUUCGGAUUUACUGGGCGUAAAGCGCACGCAGGCGGUCUGUCAAGUCGGAUGUGAAAUCCCCGGGCUCAACCUGGGAACUGCAUUCGAAACUGGCAGGCUAGAGUCUUGUAGAGGGGGGUAGAAUUCCAGGUGUAGCGGUGAAAUGCGUAGAGAUCUGGAGGAAUACCGGUGGCGAAGGCGGCCCCCUGGACAAAGACUGACGCUCAGGUGCGAAAGCGUGGGGAGCAAACAGG